rnacentral:tRNA from 1 species
GACGUGAUAUUUCAAUGGUUAGAAUACUGUACAACGGAUACAAGAUAUCUGAGUUCGAAUCUCAGUCGCGUUU